rnacentral:rRNA from 1 species
CCUACGGGAGGCAGCAGUGGGGGAUAUUGCACAAUGGGGGAAACCCUGAUGCAGCGACGCCGCGUGUAGGAAGACGGUCCUCUGGAUUGUAAACUACUGUCCCCAGGGACGAAGAUGACGGUACCUGGGGAGGAAGCUCCGGCUAACUACGUGCCAGCAGCCGCGGUAAUACGUAGGGAGCGAGCGUUGUCCGGAAUUACUGGGUGUAAAGGGAGCGUAGGCGGCUUGGCAAGUCAGUAGUGAAAUCCAUGGGCUUAACCCAUGAACUGCAGUUGAAACUGGUUUUCUUGAGUGAAGUAGAGGUUGGCGGAAUUCCGAGUGUAGCGGUGAAAUGCGUAGAUAUUCGGAGGAACACCGGUGGCGAAGGCGGCCAACUGGGCUUUAACUGACGCUGAGGCUCGAAAGUGUGGGGAGCAAACAGGAUUAGAUACCCCUGUAGUC